rnacentral:rRNA from 1 species
UGCGCAGGUGGGUUGGCAAGUUUGAUGUGAAAGCCCCGGGCUUAACCCGGGAAUGGCAUUGAAUACUGCUGAUCUGGAGGGUUGGAGGGGGGACUGGAAUUCUUGGUGUAGCAGUGAAACGCGUAGAUAUCAAGAGGAACACCAGUGGCGAAGGCGAGUCCCCGGACAAUACCUGACACUGAGGCACGAAAGCUAGGGGAGCAAACA